rnacentral:rRNA from 1 species
AGCGAACGCUGGCGGCAGGCCUAACACAUGCAAGUCGAACGACCCUUUCGUGGUUAGUUGCUCACGGGUGUGUAACACGUCGGAACGUGCCUUUAUGCUCGGAAUACCUCAGUGAAACUUGUGCUAAUACCGAAUGUGUCCUUCUGAUGCCACAUUUAUCGUCUUUAGAGCGGCCCGCGUUCGAUUAGCUAGGUGGUUGAGGUUAUGGCUCACUAAGGCUACGUACAGUAGCUGGUAAGAGAGGAAGAUCAGCCACAUUGGGAGUGAGACACGGCCCAAACUACUACGGGAGGCAGCAGUGGGGAAUCUUGCGAAAUGGGCUAAAGGAUGAAGGAGCCAGGCCGGGUGAAUGAUGAAGGUCUGAGGAAAGAAAAAUUCUUUCACCGGGGACGAUAAUGACGGUACCCAGAGAAGAAGCCCCGGCUAACUUCGUG